AGAGUUUGAUCCUGGCUCAGGAUGAACGCUAGCUACAGGCUUAACACAUGCAAGUCGAGGGGCAGCAUGGAAGAAGCUUGCUUCUUCUGAUGGCGACCGGCGCACGGGUGCGUAACGCGUAUCAAACCUGCCUCAUACUCGGGGAUAGCCUUGCGAAAGUAAGAUUAAUACCCGAUGUUGUUAUGUUUCCGCAUGGUGAUAUAACCAAAGAUUUAUCGGUAAGGGAUGGGGAUGCGUCCGAUUAGCCAGACGGCGGGGUAACGGCCCACCGUGGCUACGAUCGGUAGGGGUUCUGAGAGGAAGGUCCCCCACACUGGAACUGAGACACGGUCCAGACUCCUACGGGAGGCAGCAGUGAGGAAUAUUGGUCAAUGGGCGUAAGCCUGAACCAGCCAAGUAGCGUGCAGGACGACGGCCCUAUGGGUUGUAAACUGCUUUUAUGCGGGGAUAAAGUGGCCCACGUGUGGGUUUUUGCAGGUACCGCAUGAAUAAGGACCGGCUAAUUCCGUGCCAGCAGCCGCGGUAAUACGGAAGGUCCGGGCGUUAUCCGGAUUUAUUGGGUUUAAAGGGAGCGUAGGCCGCGCCUUAAGCGUGUUGUGAAAUCCGGGUGCUCAACAUCCGGCUUGCAGCGCGAACUGGGGCGCUUGAGUGCGCAGAAAGUAGGCGGAAUUCGUGGUGUAGCGGUGAAAUGCUUAGAUAUCACGAGGAACUCCGAUUGCGAAGGCAGCCUACUGUAGCGCUACUGACGCUGAUGCUCGAAAGCGUGGGUAUCGAACAGGAUUAGAUACCCUGGUAGUCCACGCGGUAAACGAUGGAUGCUCGUUGUCGGCCCUUUGGGUCGGUGACCAAGCGAAAGCGUUAAGCAUCCCACCUGGGGAGUACGCCGGCAACGGUGAAACUCAAAGGAAUUGACGGGGGCCCG
rnacentral:rRNA from 1 species